GGAGGGUUGACUCUCAUCUGUCCUUUCACCCACCCCACAAGGUCUAGCUGAAAGCCCACCUCCCAGGCCCAGGGUGUUCCAUUCCAGAACUCCUGUGGCCUGUAUCAUUUAUUUGGCACUUAACACAUGCUCAAGCACAGGCCAUGGGGUGAACGAAGCUGAGCCUGGUUACACAAGGACAUUAAAACACUGCUUAGCCGGGGUGCCUGGGUGGCUCAGUUGGUUAAGCAACUGACUUUGGCUCAGGUCAUGAUGUCACAGUUUGUGGGUUCGAGCCCCGCACCGGGCUCUGUGCUGACAGCUCGGAGCCUGGCGCCUGCUUUGGAUUCUGUGUCUCCCUCUCUCUCUGCCCGUCCCCCACUUGUGCUCUCUCUCUCUCUCUCUCAAAAAUAAAUAAAAUGUAAAAAACAAAAACAAAAAAACAUUGGUCAGUCAUUAACAGUUGCUCCCGGGUGGUAAUCAAGAAAAAAUAAUCCGUCCUUUGUUUUACCCCCAAAUCAUAGACAGCUAGCACAUCUUUUUGGGAAGCUGUGACGUAAGCCUGAUGUGAUCAGGUAUUGAAAGAGUAUGGAGUAGGUAGGCUUUUUCUCCUUUUAUCUCACUGCGCUCAGCCCCUCUUAUCCAGUUCACUGCCAAGCCCCGCAGAGCUAUUUCCACACGCCCCUCAGUCACUCGUCUCCCUUGGCUCCCCCUCAUGUGGCUCUACAGCAGACCCUCCCCUUCAACCUGCACACCCCAGCAAUCUCGUCCAUUUCUUCCCUUUCCAACCCAGAUUCCACUCUGCUGCAGGAGCUUAUCGUCCUCCAAUGCACUUCUCAUAUGCUGCUGGAGGAACCAGAACACCACACAGCCUUCCUGGAGGGCAGAAACAGUGAAGUUGCAAGGAAUUAUGGUGGGGGCCACAGAGGAACAAGGCAAGUUCAAGAUGAGCUGGAAGGUAGGAAAUCAGAGGUAGACAGAGAAAGGCGAGCUGAAGCCCAGUGGACACAGAAUAUGCUUAUUUCUGCCCAGCUGGGCUGCAAGAGAGGACGGAACCUGGAGACCACAGGGCACACGCUGGAAGGCAGAAUCUAAGAAGUGCGUCCGCCUUCUGUUACUCUGCUGAGCGACCCCGGCAAAGUCACAUGGCUAUCAAAUGCCUUCACCUCCAAAAGUCUAUGCCACUCUGCAAGCAAGGUGCUAUGAUGGUGGUGCCCACGUGUUAUGUCUCCGUUUUUGGAAAGGCAACUAUGUCCAAUAAUGAGGUGAGGUCAGAACUUUAGGGGACAGAGUGUGAUUAAAACAGGCCACGGGA